rnacentral:snoRNA from 1 species
ACCUCGUGAUUGGGACAUUGCAUGAGCUUCCCAUUAAAUAUCUCCCAUACCUCAUAUAGAGGUUCUUCAUUCAAUUGAUAAAAAUUAGUGAUUUCAUAAUGCAAUU